rnacentral:rRNA from 1 species
GUGGGGAAUAUUGGACAAUGGGCGAAAGCCUGAUCCAGCCAUGCCGCGUGUGUGAAGAAGGUCUUCGGAUUGUAAAGCACUUUAAGUUGGGAGGAAGGGCAGUAAGUUAAUACCUUGCUGUUUUGACGUUACCGACAGAAUAAGCACCGGCUAACUUCGUGCCAGCAGCCGCGGUAAUACGAAGGGUGCAAGCGUUAAUCGGAAUUACUGGGCGUAAAGCGCGCGUAGGUGGUUCAGCAAGUUGGAGGUGAAAUCCCCGGGCUCAACCUGGGAACUGCCUCCAAAACUACUGGGCUAGAGUACGGUAGAGGGUAGUGGAAUUUCCUGUGUAGCGGUGAAAUGCGUAGAUAUAGGAAGGAACACCAGUGGCGAAGGCGACUACCUGGACUGAUACUGACACUGAGGUGCGAAAGCGUGGGGAGCAAACAGGAUUAGAAACCCGGGUAGUCC